GUUAAGUGAAUUCUAAUGCAGCAGAGGAUGCUCCCUGCUCAGUAAAGCUAUCUAGGUUAAUUCUCAACACAUCAAGAUCUGAAGAUGAGAAAAAUAAUCCAAAUUGGAAACACCAGAACCACAGGAGUGCUGAAAAGUGAAAUGAUACAUGGUUAGGUAUCCUUGCUUUAGUUUGAAUUGCUUUUCCUUCUUUUAGGCAUAAAUACCUUUUGUCAGCUUUCGCUAACGAUAGUCAUUUUUUAACAAGACAAAGCCACUUGAGGUCAAGGAUUUAAAGUUGAAACACAGUUUUAAAUCUUCCCGCUUUGCAGGUAAGUAAGAAACAAAGUCUUUAAUUGUCAUGACAUGGUCACACAUAAUUUCUCAUAAUACAGCUUCAGUUUACAGAACUGUUUGUCUAGUGAGUUAUGUAUGUGCUUGACUUUUUUUACUACUUCUUGUCAUUCUUUCAUUAGUUUCAUUAGUAUGACUCACCUUAGCACCAUCAGUGCUAAAACAGGGGUUUGGAUGGUGGGAAUCUAGGUCCUUGCUGUUCUCUGUGAAUACACCUUGGCACUCGCACAUGGGGGAAUCUCUGAAUGGGAAAAAUCCAGCAUAGACUUUCUUAUUCUACCUCAUGCCGGUGUUAACUAAGGGCAUAGAAGGGAAUAAAGAUGUGCUGGUAGAUCACAGUUAUACUUUAGAAGUCACAGGCUGCUGCAUUAGUCCUUGGAAGGAAAGUAUAGGAUGGCUUAAUUAAAGCCUUGCAUUCAUCCAGACUUGAAGACCAGUGAACUUCUGAGUCCACCAAAGCUAUGCCAAAUAUCCAGAGUUUCAAUGCUUUUAUUUUUAUUAUGCUGGGUGGACAAAGCUGCAAAAGCAGAACCGUCGAUGAUCUGUAAAGUCAAUAAAGACAGGAUGCAGCUUUCCUUUGCCCUUUACUUGCCCAUACCCUUUAACCUGUAGUAAAUGGACAUAAAAUGCUGUCUAGUCAAAAUCACAUUGCUUUAUGCUGAUCUUAUGCUCCCUCCCUGCUGUGUAAAGAGAUGGCAGAACUGUGAUGAAACUGCCAUAAGCAAGGAUCAUUAAGUGCCUUAUAGAAAUUUAGCUGUGCUCCUGGGCAUUUAAGCAGCUUUCUCUACCUAUGCCCCAUCAGCUGUUUGGCAAAGCUGCCACAGUCUUUUUUAGAGGUGCUAUGAGGUCAUGAGGCAAAGUCCAAGCCAGCAAGAUGUUCCACCACAGCUCUUGCAGAGCAUGCGCCAAGGCAGGAGAGGAAGGUAACAGCACCCUGUUGAUGUCCUGCAGCAGUUGUAAGGUUGCUGCCUUGGAAGGGAUCAAGGAUGACUAUGGAGCAGGCAGGUGUCUAAGCAGGAGGGAAAAGAACGUAUCUGGGAGUAUAAGGUGCACGUGUACAAACAAGUCUCUCAGCCAUGAAGAGAUGCAGCUGAGAUGGGAAUGUUCAAUCUGGGUGACAGAGGCUGCUGGAGAAAAUCACUGACUGCAGCACCAUAAACCCAGUGCUUCUUAACUUCUGGCCUGAAGCUUCUGCAUCCAAGGAGUGCACUCUAAUCACACGUCCAAGGGACCUAAGCAAAGUUGUGUUUUCAGAAAUUAAAGGGCGAGCCUUGUCAGAAGACAGAAGCUGAACAGAGACAGCUUAAAACAUAUGGUCCUCUCCUUGCCUUGGAUCUGCUUCUUCAGAAUGGAUCCUUCUUCAAAAUUUACUGCUCUUCUACUUACAGUGGUCUCAGGAUUCACUUUCUCUUGACCUUCCGUAUGAAUUGGCAGAACAAUGAAUCAUUUCUUGUGCACAGGAAUUGGAGUCAUAAAGAUACCAUAACGUUAAUAGAUUUGUUUCAGAGUUCAUGAGGUCAAACUUGUUGGUCUUCUCAUAUGACUAACAGCGUAAAAAUCUGGAAUCGCCUCAGUUUAUCUCGGGCAUAAAAAGACUGCCACUGAAGAACUGCACAUCAAUAAAUCACCUCUGAUUUAUUUCUUAUUGGGUAACAUGUUCUAAUUUCUCCAUAAAAGCAGAUAAAGGUAACUCUAAUUAAAAUGUCUAUUUCUUUCUCUACUAUUUGUGUUAACAUUCAUGCUAUUGCAUAUACUCCUUUCAUAAUACUAUAAUUUUUCAGUAUUCUACAGUUACUGUUUAAUUUAAAAUACCCCUGCGAUAUUAACUGUAUAAUAAAUUACAAUUCAAAAUAUAUCUGCCAUUUCAUCCAUGAGGAAGAAUAAUAAAGCCAUAAUAAAAAGGAAUCAAGUUUAGCAA